rnacentral:rRNA from 1 species
CGGAGGGUGCAAGCGUUAUCCGGAUUCACUGGGUUUAAAGGGUGCGUAGGAGGGCAGGUAAGUCAGUGGUGAAAUCUCCGAGCUUAACUUGGAAACUGCCGUUGAUACUAUCUGUCUUGAAUAUUGUGGAGGUGAGCGGAAUAUGUCAUGUAGCGGUGAAAUGCUUAGAUAUGACAUAGAACACCAAUUGCGAAGGCAGCUCGCUACACAUAUAUUGACUCUGAGGCACGAAAGCGUGGGGAUCAAACAGGAUUAGAUACCCUGGUCGUCCACGCCCUAAACGAUGGAUACUCGACAUACGCGAUACACAGUGUGUGUCUGAGCGAAAGCAUUAAGUAUCCCACCUGGGAAGUACGACCGCAAGGUUG